rnacentral:rRNA from 1 species
CGGAGGAUCCAAGCGUUAUCCGGAAUCAUUGGGUUUAAAGGGUCCGUAGGCGGUUUGGUAAGUCAGUGGUGAAAGCCCAUCGCUCAACGGUGGAACGGCCAUUGAUACUGCCAGACUUGAAUUACUGGGAAGUAACUAGAAUAUGUAGUGUAGCGGUGAAAUGCUUAGAGAUUACAUGGAAUACCAAUUGCGAAGGCAGGUUACUACCAGUGGAUUGACGCUGAUGGACGAAAGCGUGGGUAGCGAACAGGAUUAGAUACCCUGGUAGUCCACGCCGUAAACGAUGGAUACUAGCUGUUGGGGGCAACUUCAGUGGCUAAGCGAAAGUGAUAAGUAUCCCACCUGGGGAGCACGUUCGCAAGAAUG